GGCUGAAAUUCGCCUUCAUGAAGCCGGAAUUGCUAGUAAUGGCAGGUCAGCAUACUGCCGUGAAUACGUUCCCGGGGCCUUGUACACACCGCCCGUCACACCAUGAGAGUUGGAGAUACCCGAAGCCUGUGAGCUAACAAACGAGGCAGCAGUCGAAGGUAGAAUCAAUGAUUGGGGUGAAGUCGUAACAAGGUAAC
rnacentral:rRNA from 1 species